UGGUUAUAAGUGAUACCCACCAGGAG
rnacentral:piRNA from 1 species